rnacentral:rRNA from 1 species
UACGGAGGGUGCAAGCGUUAUCCGGAUUCACUGGGUUUAAAGGGUGUGUAGGCGGGUAGUUAAGUCAGUGGUGAAAUCUCCGGGCUCAACCCGGAAACUGCCAUUGAUACUAUCUAUCUUGAAUAUUGUUGAGGUAGGCGGAAUAUAUCAUGUAGCGGUGAAAUGCUUAGAUAUGAUAUAGAACACCGAUUGCGAAGGCAGCUUACUAAACAAUUAUUGACGCUGAGGCACGAAAGCGUGGGGAUCAAACAG